rnacentral:rRNA from 1 species
AGCGAACGCUGGCGGCAGGCUUAACACAUGCAAGUCGAACGGUCCUUCGGGAUAGUGGCGGACGGGUGAGUAACACGUGGGAACGUACCCUUAGGUUCGGAACAACACAGGGAAACUUGUGCUAAUACCGGAUAAGCCCUUCGGGGGAAAGAUUUAUCGCCUUUGGAGCGGCCCGCGUCUGAUCAGCUUGUUGGUGAGGUAAUGGCUCACCAAGGCUACGAUCAGUAGCUGGUCUGAGAGGAUGGCCAGCCACACUGGGACUGAGACACGGCCCAGACUCCUACGGGAGGCAGCAGUGGGGAAUCUUGCGCAAUGGGCGAAAGCCUGACGCAGCCAUGCCGCGUGGAUGAUGAAGGUCUUAGGAUUGUAAAAUCCUUUCACCGGGGACGAUAAUGACGGUACCCGGAGAAGAAGCCCCGGCUAACUUCGUGCCAGCAGCCGCCGCAG